AGGACUGUAGUUAAAAAUAACAUUUAAUUUGCAAUUAAAAGGUAUUGAUUAAUCAAUCUGUCUU
rnacentral:tRNA from 1 species